AUACGGAGGAUCCGAGCGUUAUCCGGAUUUAUUGGGUUUAAAGGGUGCGCAGGCGGCCAUUUAAGUCAGCGGUUAAAUCGUGGGGCUCAACCCCAUUCUGCCGUUGAUACUGGGUGGCUUGAUUGCGGUCGAGGUUGGCGGAAUUCGUUGUGUAGCGGUGAAAUGCAUAGAUAUGACGAAGAACACCGAUUGCGUAGGCAGCUGACCAGACCGCAAAUGACGCUCAUGCACGAAAGUGCGGGGAUAGAACAGGAGUAGAUACCCUGGUAGUCCGCACAGUAAACGAUGAAUACUUGUUUUCGGCGAUAUAAUGUCGGAGGCAAAGCGAAAGCGAUAAGUAUUCCGCCUGGGGAGUACGCCGGCAACGGUGAAACUCAAAUGAAUUGGCGGGG
rnacentral:rRNA from 1 species